UACGUAGGGUGCAAGCGUUGUCCGGAAUUAUUGGGCGUAAAGAGCUCGUAGGCGGUCUGUCGCGUCUGCUGUGAAAAUCAGGGCUCAACCCUGGACCUGCAGUGGGUACGGGCAGACUAGAGUGCGGUAGGGGAGAUCGGAAUUCCUGGUGUAGCGGUGAAAUGCGCAGAUAUCAGGAGGAACACCGGUGGCGAAGGCGGAUCUCUGGGCCGUAACUGACGCUGAGGAGCGAAAGCGUGGGGAGCGAACAGG
rnacentral:rRNA from 1 species